rnacentral:rRNA from 1 species
UACGGGGGGGCAAGCGUUGUUCGGAAUUACUGGGCGUAAAGGGCUCGUAGGCGGCCAACUAAGUCAGACGUGAAAUCCCUCGGCUUAACCGGGGAACUGCGUCUGAUACUGGAUGGCUUGAGUUUGGGAGAGGGAUGCGGAAUUCCAGGUGUAGCGGUGAAAUGCGUAGAUAUCUGGAGGAACACCGGUGGCGAAGGCGGCAUCCUGGACCAACACUGACGCUGAUGAGCGAAAGCCAGGGGGGCAAACGGG